rnacentral:rRNA from 1 species
CAGUAGGGAGGAAGGUACGUGUAGUUAACACCUGCAUUAUUUGACGUUACCUACAGAAGAAGCACCGGCUAACUCCGUGCCAGCAGCCGCGGUAAUACGGAGGGUGCGAGCGUUAAUCGGAAUUACUGGGCGUAAAGCGCAUGCAGGCGGCCUGUUAAGUCAGAUGUGAAAGACCCGGGGCGUUAACCUCGGAAUUGCAUUUGAAACUAGGCAGGCUAGAGUCUUGUAGAGGGGGGUAGGAAUUUCAGGUGUAGCGGUGAAAUAGCGUAGAGAUCUGAAGGAAUACCAGUGGCGAAGGCGGCCCCCUGGACAAAGACUGACGCUCAGAUGCGAAAGCGUGGGGAGCAAACAGGAUUAGAUACCCUGGUAG